rnacentral:rRNA from 1 species
GACGAACGCUGGCGGCGCGCUUAACACAUGCAAGUCGAACGGAAAGGCCUGCUUUCCCUUGUGGAUUGCGGGUACUCGAGUGGCGAACGGGUGAGUAACACGUGAGUGAUCUGCCCCCAACUUGGGUAUAAGCCUGGGAAACUGGGUCUAAUUCCCGAUAGGACUGCAGGGUGGUGCCUGUGGUGGAAAACGAUUUUCUAGUGGUUGGGGAUGAGCUCGCGGCCUAUCAGCUUGUUGGUGGGGUAAUGGCCUACCAAGGCGGCGACGGGUAGCCGGCCUGGGAGGGUGGACGGCAACAGUGGGACUGAGAUACGGCCCAGACGCCUACGGGAGGCAGCAGUGGGGAAUAUUGCACAAUGGGCGGAAGCCUGAUGCAGCGACGCCGCGUGGGGGAUGACGGCCUUCGGGUUGUAAACUCCUUUCGACCGCGAGGAAGCCACCUGGUUGGAAGGGUGGUGACGGUAGUGGUAGAAGAAGCACCGGCUAACUACGUG